rnacentral:misc_RNA from 1 species
AAAGAAGCAGGAUGUUAGGUUCUUUCAUCAAACGUGACAAUGAGCCCUUAUUAGUUCAGAAUGCUUGUAAACUAUUUCUUAACCAAUACUUCUACAGAGACAACUUAGUAGAGAGCUUUAUCUUACUACUAAUUUAAGAAAAAUAACGCAACCAGUGGAUCAACAGAGUUUGCCCAGAUAUGUUAAUCGUUCCUUGUCAGCAAUCGGGGGAACACUGUGAUUGCCUCAUAAUUUGCUACACUUUCUGUUAAUCACCACGAGGCCAUAACUGUUGGGACUUCAAUAACCAGUAGGUCCUCGCAAUUGUUGUUGGUUCUCAAAUGGUAGUUCGAUGGAUGCUGCAUUGCCAUAGAAUUCUUCCAGGUUGUAGUACUCACGCUGCGGAGGAAGAAAUAGAUGAACAACGACAUCACCAAAGUCCAGUAGUGUCCACGAGUUGGGUUUUGAAUCUCCAGAAGCAACUCUUCCAUAUUGUUCCUCAGCCAUAUCUCUUACUCUGGUCCCAAUGGCAUCAAUCUGUGGGCGAGAGAAUGCAGUAGCAAUAAUGAAAAACCGAGUCCAAUAUACUAGAGGCUUGACAAAGAGGACCUUUAUAUCUCCAGCCUUGACAUCACUUGCAACUUUAGCCACAGCCAUUGCAAACGAUAGGCUUUCAGCAUCAUCAUCAAUCUCCUCACUUGCAGGUUUUUGGUCAUUUCUUUUGUAUACCACUUUGCCAUGCGUUCUUAGGAGAUCAUCAAACAUGUCAUCUGUAUCUUCACUUACAUUCGAACCGAUAGCCGUUCUAGAAAAAUCCGUAGAGCUGCUUCUGGAAAAUUUCUGAUCUUUAUAAGGAAAUGGGACAUAAUUAGAGGAAUUCAAAGUUAAAGAAUAAAGCUUUCUGGUGUUAGCAGCAAGCUUAGCUUCCGCAGGACCGGCAGAGACCAAAAUUCCGGUGGAGGGAGUAGAGGGAAGAGGAUGAAUGCAGGAGUGUACUUUCAUUUUUCUAUACGAGAUUUCAACUUUAGAAGAUACUGCACAAGAGAGGAUUGUAUGGG